CGCACCUUGCGCCCUUUGGUAUUCCGAAGGGCAUGCCCGUUCGAGUGUCUUGAAAUCAUCACUCCUCUCGGUUUCUGAUCGAGAUGGUGUGGAUUUGGAGGUCUGCUGCUGUACAAGUGGCUCCUCUUGAAUGUAUCGGUUGCGCUUGAAGCGUUCCCUCGACGUUGUAAUCUCCCUCGUCUUGGUCUGUUUUGAGUCGGCCUCGGCUUAGCCUCUGGAGUGGCGGCCAAAUUCUUUGACAUCUGACCUCGAAUCGGGUAGGACUACCCGCUGAACUUAA
rnacentral:misc_RNA from 1 species